rnacentral:rRNA from 1 species
UACGUAGGGUGCGAGCGUUGUCCGGAAUUAUUGGGCGUAAAGAGCUCGUAGGCGGUGUGUCACGUCGGCCGUGAAAACCUGCAGCUUAACUGUGGGCGUGCGGUCGAUACGGGCAUCACUGGAGUUCGGCAGGGGAGACUGGAAGUUCCUGGUGUAGCGGUGAAAUGCGCAGAUAUCAGGAGGAACACCGGUGGCGAAGGCGGGUCCUCUGGGCCGAUACUGACGCUGAGGAGCGAAAGGCGUGGGGAGCAAACAGG